CUUGCAAGAUUGGUGGCCCAAAAAAGUGGGCCCAAUCCUCACUCUACAUUCUCUAUCACUACGGCAAGGGUGGUGAGACCCAUGCCAGGCGCAUCCAAUGGAGAUGGAAGCGCGGGGAAGGAAAACUUCCACAGCCCGAGUGAAAACCGAAGAGGUGCGAGGGCAGUGUUGAGGUGUUACCGAUGCAAGGGACCGCACAAGAAGAGG
rnacentral:misc_RNA from 1 species